ACUGGUCUACUCGGCAUAAGUCCUUUGUUGUUCAUAAUUGUCUUCAUCUUUUGUCCAUAGUUGCUAAUCCUUCCUCUUCCAUGCAAUUAGUGCAUGACAUAACCAUCCUGAGUGAGGGCCAGCUCAACUUCAACCGGAUGAGGCUCUCCCUAAAAGAAAAGUUUAGGGCAUCCAAGGCCCGUAUGAAGGCUAUGGAGGAAGCGAGGCAGGCCAUUGAGGAGGCGAGGCAAACGACCAAAUAUGUGAGGGGGCAACUAAGGAAGAGGCC
rnacentral:lncRNA from 1 species